UACGUAGGUGGCAAGCGUUAUCCGGAAUUAUUGGGCGUAAAGCGCGCGUAGGCGGCGAGGUUAGUCUGAUGUGAAAGCCCCCGGCUCAACCGGGGAAGGUCAUUGGAGACUGUUUCGCUUGAGUGCAGAAGAGGAGGGUGGAAUUCCAUGUGUAGCGGUGAAAUGCGUAGAGAUAUGGAGGAACACCAGUGGCGAAGGCGACUCUCUGGUCUGCAACUGACGCUGAUGUGCGAAAGCGUGGGGAUCAAACAGG
rnacentral:rRNA from 1 species